GACGAACGCUGGCGGCGUGCUUAACACAUGCAAGUCGAACGGAAAGGCCCUGCUUGCAGGGUACUCGAGUGGCGAACGGGUGAGUAACACGUGGGUGAUCUGCCCUGCACUUCGGGAUAAGCCUGGGAAACUGGGUCUAAUACCGGAUAGGAGCCAUUUUUAGUGUGAUGGUUGGAAAGUUUUUUCGGUGUAGGAGGAGCUCGCGGCCUAUCAGCUUGUUGGUGGGGUAAUGGCCUACCAAGGCGGCGACGGGUAGCCGGCCUGAGAGGGUGGACGGCCACAUUGGGACUGAGAUACGGCCCAGACUCCUACGGGAGGCAGCAGUGGGGAAUAUUGCACAAUGGGCGCAAGCCUGAUGCAGCGACGCCGCGUGGGGGAUGACGGCCUUCGGGUUGUAAACUCCUUUCGCUAGGGACGAAGCUUUUUGUGACGGUACCUAGAUAAGAAGCACCGGCUAACUACGUG
rnacentral:rRNA from 1 species